rnacentral:rRNA from 1 species
GAUGAACGCUGGCGGCGUGCCUAAUACAUGCAAGUCGAGCGAACGGACGAGAAGCUUGCUUCUCUGAUGUUAGCGGCGGACGGGUGAGUAACACGUGGAUAACCUACCUAUAAGACUGGGAUAACUUCGGGAAACCGGAGCUAAUACCGGAUAAUAUUUUGAACCGCAUGGUUCAAAAGUGAAAGACGGUCUUGCUGUCACUUAUAGAUGGAUCCGCGCUGCAUUAGCUAGUUGGUAAGGUAACGGCUUACCAAGGCAACGAUGCAUAGCCGACCUGAGAAGGUGAUCGGCCACACUGGAACUGAGACACGGUCCAGACUCCUACGGGAGGCAGCAGUAGGGAAUCUUCCGCAAUGGGCGAAAGCCUGACGGAGCAACGCCGCGUGAGUGAUGAAGGUCUUCGGAUCGUAAAACUCUGUUAUUAGGGAAGAACAUAUGUGUAAGUAACUGUGCACAUCUUGACGGUACCUAAUCAGAAAGCCACGGCUAACUACGUGCCAGCAGCCGCGGUAAUACGUAGGUGGCAAGCGUUAUCCGGAAUUAUUGGGCGUAAAGCGCGCGUAGGCGGUUUUUUAAGUCUGAUGUGAAAGCCCACGGCUCAACCGUGGAGGGUCAUUGGAAACUGGAAAACUUGAGUGCAGAAGAGGAAAGUGGAAUUCCAUGUGUAGCGGUGAAAUGCGCAGAGAUAUGGAGGAACACCAGUGGCGAAGGCGACUUUCUGGUCUGUAACUGACGCUGAUGUGCGAAAGCGUGGGGAUCAAACAGGAUUAGAUACCCUGGUAGUCCACGCCGUAAACGAUGAGUGCUAAGUGUUAGGGGGUUUCCGCCCCUUAGUGCUGCAGCUAACGCAUUAAGCACUCCGCCUGGGGAGUACGACCGCAAGGUUGAAACUCAAAGGAAUUGACGGGGACCCGCACAAGCGGUGGAGCAUGUGGUUUAAUUCGAAGCAACGCGAAGAACCUUACCAAAUCUUGACAUCCUUUGACAACUCUAGAGAUAGAGCUUUCCCCUUCGGGGGACAAAGUGACAGGUGGUGCAUGGUUGUCGUCAGCUCGUGUCGUGAGAUGUUGGGUUAAGUCCCGCAACGAGCGCAACCCUUAAGCUUAGUUGCCAUCAUUAAGUUGGGCACUCUAAGUUGACUGCCGGUGACAAACCGGAGGAAGGUGGGGAUGACGUCAAAUCAUCAUGCCCCUUAUGAUUUGGGCUACACACGUGCUACAAUGGACAAUACAAAGGGCAGCGAAACCGCGAGGUCAAGCAAAUCCCAUAAAGUUGUUCUCAGUUCGGAUUGUAGUCUGCAACUCGACUACAUGAAGCUGGAAUCGCUAGUAAUCGUAGAUCAGCAUGCUACGGUGAAUACGUUCCCGGGUCU